UACAGAGGUCUCAAGCGUUGUUCGGAUUCAUUGGGCGUAAAGGGUGCGUAGGCGGCGCGGUAAGUCGGGUGUGAAAUCUUGGAGCUUAACUCCGAAACUGCAUUCGAUACUGCCGUGCUUGAGGACUGGAGAGGAGACUGGAAUUUACGGUGUAGCGGUGAAAUGCGUAGAUAUCGAGAGGAACACCUGCGGCGAAGGCGGGUUGCUGGGCCGACACUGACGCUGAUGCGCGAAAGCUAGGGGAGCGAACGGG
rnacentral:rRNA from 1 species